CAGGUUUUGACAUCCCGGGGAAUCCUUCGGAGAAAGAGGUUUCCUUUUGGGGUCAGGGCAACAGGUGGUGCAUGGUUGUCAUCAGCUGUUGUGGGGAGAUGUUGGAUUAAGUCCCGCAAGGAGCGCAACCCUUGUUUUUAGUCACCAGCAUUUAGUUGGGCAUUUUAAGGGGACUCCCGGGUACAAACCGGAGGAAGGUGGGGAGGACGUCAAAUCUUCAUGCCCUUUAUGACAUGGGUUACACACGUGUUCCAAUGGCGGGUACAAAGGGUAGGGAACCGGGGAGNGGGAGCAAAUCCCUUAAACCCGUUUUCAGUUCGGAUGCAUGCUGCAAUUGGCCUCCAGAAGCNGGAAUCGNUNGUAAU
rnacentral:rRNA from 1 species